UUUUUUUACGGGAUACAAACCCUUCUUGGUUCUCUACUCUCUCAAUUCACUCUUUUCCAGCCACCUCUCCUACUUUCUCUACUAUGAACUCUGAUGAUGUGGGAGGCAUUGGUGAAUGACUGAAUAGCCACUGCACUGCUAACAGCCGCGGCGACUGUCACCGUUAACACCGGCGAAGUCAACCUGAAAGUCGUCAUUUCUGAAAUCUGAAGCGAAAUUCGACUAUAGCCAAGCUUCAACAUCUUCUAUACCAUGUGCUCAAACAAGGUUUUUGACAAGCAAUUGAAUAUGACAUACGUACACGCAUUUUAUCUACUCGAUGUUGAGAAGAUUUUGUGGAUUGACAGAGAAACUAUGAUUGAUUCUUAAAUAAGGUGAUGCUCAAGAUGUGAUGAAUUAUAUUGUCGAACGCUUUCAUUAGGUGAUGCUCAAGAUGUGAACCAUGUCCAAAUUUGAAGAUUGUUGAUGGAUGGGUAUAAGUUUUUUUUGGAAAUCAAGUAGCUAAUGUAUACUUCAAAAAAAUAUUAUGCUACAAUCAUGUAUCUUGAAUGGUGGUGUAAUAAUGUAAAAUGUGCUUAGUAUGCAUCCGUUUUUUGUAUUAGCUACUUUAUGUAAAAUUUACUAAAAUUUGUUGCUAUUCAGCAAAAAUCCCUAUUAGGGAUCGCAGUUGGUAGGAGUCGAACUUGUGACCUCAAAGUCACAUGGUGAAUCUCUUACCAACUAUACCAAGUACUAUUUAUUUA